UGGUGGGGCAAACCUCAGCGUGGGCGCUGAGUCCCUAAGGGGGGGUGAGCGGUGGCUGCAGAGAGGCAGUGCACUCACCUUAGGCAAAUCCCACAUCGGCUACGCACAAGGUUCACGAUCAGUACAUAAGAGGGGUGGUAGCUUAACCUGGUAGGCGCCUUUUGGGGUGGAUUGAAAAGCCUGGCCCAAGGGACAAAACCGUGCGGGCCUGCGUGGCCCAAAGCGGAC
rnacentral:lncRNA from 1 species